GCGGAGGGAUCAUUGCUGGAACGCGCCCCGGCGCACCCAGAAACCCUUUGUGAACUUAUACCUUAUUGUUGCCUCGGCGAAGGCCGGCCUCUCCUCCUGAGGCCCCCCGGAGACGGGGAGCAGCCCGCCGGCGGCCAACCAAACUCUUGUUUCUUAGUGAAUCUCUGAGUAAAAAAACAUAAAUGAAUCAAAACUUUCAACAACGGAUCUCUUGGUUCUGGCAUCGAUGAAGAACGCAGCGAAAUGCGAUAAGUAAUGUGAAUUGCAGAAUUCAGUGAAUCAUCGAAUCUUUGAACGCACAUUGCGCCCUCUGGUAUUCCGGAGGGCAUGCCUGUUCGAGCGUCAUUUCAACCCUCAAGCCUGGCUUGGUGUUGGGGCGCUGCUCCGAGAGGAGCAGGCCCUGAAAUCUAGUGGCGAGCUCGCUAGGACCCCGAGCGUAGUAGUUUAUAUCUCGUUCUGGAAGGCCCUGGCGGCGCCCUGCCGUUAAACCCCCAACUUCUGAAAUUUUGACCUCGGAUCAGG
rnacentral:rRNA from 1 species